GUCUAAUCAGGUCUUAAUAUGAUUACGAUUGAUUGGAGUUUUAUUGGGUUUAAAAUAACCACUUAAAAGAGAGUCCCAUGUGCAUUAAACUUCUUCAUUUCCAUGCGCCAACAUGGUCCCGCGUUAAGCCAGAUUUGGAUGCCACAUCCCACCAAUAUUUGCAUAAAGUUUUUAGCAUGUAAUAAGCUCCUUAAAACCUCUUCUUUCUAUGUAAAACCCAAGCGAAAAGGAUGAAGGUGGGCCUCAUCAAAAUUGAAAGAGUCCUAGCAUGUUUGGACUCUAAUCUCCUAUCCAAAUUAGAACUCCCUUUUGCCUAUUUAAACCAAGGAGCUUUAUGGGAUGGUAGGACCUGAUAUGGAUCAGGUUGAGAUGCCAAAAAAUCAGGGGUUGUGCAAGGAGAAAAACAAAGGGAGAGGGCACAGCAUGGAGGUGGAAGGCGUGAGGUAAUUUCUUUCUUCAUAUCCCUUCUUUCUUACACAACCAAAGGUUGGUUGUUAAGACACCUCUUCUCCUCUCUUUUGUCCAUAUUUAGACAUGGGUUUCUCUUCUUCUCUUUAUCCAAAAGUUGGAUAAAAUUCUUAUAUCUCUAGUAUAGAGAUUUGGUGCAUGGAUUUUAGGAAGAAAAAAGAAGAAAAGAUUCUUCUUAUGAUCUCUAGUGUAGAGAUCAACAUCCUCCUAUGUUCUUCUUCUUCUCUAAGAGUAUCUUGAGAAAAAAGAAGAUUUUCAACCAUCAAGAUGCGAUCUCUGCAAAAGACCUAGCAUCUCGGUGAGAUCAAAAGGUUUUUGAUCAGAUCAGAGUCUCGUGUGGAUAUUCGUAGAGGUCAGAUGCUUGUGCGGCGAUAAGGGAUCUUCAGAAGAUAUCCAUGAUCAUCAGUUCACAGUGAAAAUUGAUUCAUGUCAAGGUAUGUUCUUUAUUUAUUUUUUUAUUUAAUUUUUAUAUCUAAAUUUUAUCUCACAUAUGAUGAUCCUAUUUAUAGUUUGAAGAUUUGAUCUUAUGCAUGCUAGGAUUAAAUUAGAUUUAAUCUAAAAAUUUUAAAUUCUGCUGCAUAUUUAUUUUGAAAAAUUUUUGCAUGUAUGAAAUCAUUAAAUCCAACAGUGAUAUCGGAGCCACGUCAUAUGCAUGAGAUUAAAAUUUAGAUUUAAAAUCUGUAAAAAAAAAUUUCAGAUGUAAAAAUUUUUGAUGUCGUUCUGACAUAAGGUUGCCCUGGCAUAACUUGUUAUACUGUUUAUACUGUAUGGUUGUCCGAGAACGAUGUUAAAAUUUUUAAUUAAAAAAAAUUAAAUCUAAUUUUUUCAAUAUAUAUGUGAUAUAUGUUUUGUUAUUUGGAUCUGAAAAAAAUUUUGAGAUCUGUUUUGAUUUAUAUAUAUGAUAUAUGAAAGAUGUUUAGGGCUGAAAUUUAUUUUUAU
rnacentral:lncRNA from 1 species